ensembl:lincRNA Gm44271 predicted gene, 44271
NNNNNNNNNNNNNNNNNNNNNNNNNNNNNNNNNNNNNNNNNNNGGACUGGGCAAAGUGGGCGUUCUGGGUUCUGAUGAUGGUGAGUGGUCCUGGUUUCUGUUAGUAGGAUUCUUACGUUUACCUUUUGCCACCUGGAUGUCUCUGGAGUUAGUUGUUAUAGUUGUCUUUGUUUAGAGAUUGUUCCUCUGUUGAUUUUUUUACCCUCUAUCAGCCGACGUGGGAGACUAGCUCUCUCCUCUGAGUUUCAGUGGUCAGAGCAGUCUCUGCAUGCAAGCUCUCCUCUUUCAGGGAAGGUGCGGCCCAAAACAGGAUCUUUCCCAGAAGCUGUGUUGCUUUGGCCAGGAAGGUGUCCGGUUGUCUGGAGCCGAAGAUGGCGCUGCCUCAGAAGCUCUGUGACUCUUGCAUGUCCCAGAAACUGCUGGCCUCUGUAUUCCACACCUUCACCCGUGCAGCCUCUUGCUCUUAAAGGACAUGUUUGUCUUUGUUUGUUAACUGGUCUUUUUUCCUUGCAGAUUUUAAUAGUCUCUGUUUGUUCUGUACAUUUAGUGUUUUGAUUAUUGUGUGGCAGGAGGAUUUUCUUUUCCGGUCUAAUCUAUUUGGUGAUCUAGAAACUUCUUGUAUGUUUAUAGGCCUAUCUUUCUUUAGGUUUGGAAAUUUUCUUCCAUAUUAAAAAUAUUCUCUGGGCCUUUGAGCUGAGAAUAUUCUUCUUCUAUUUCUGUUAUUCUUAGGUUUGGUCUUUUCAUACUGUUCUAGAUUUUCUGGAUAAAUUGUGUCAGGAAAUAUUAGAUUUGUAAUUUGCUGACAGAUGUAUUGAUUUCUUCUAUAGUAUCUUUGAUGCCUGAUAUUCUCUCUUCUGUCUCUUGGAUUCUGUAGGUGAUUAUUGUGUUUGUGCUUUCUGUUACUUGGUUUUCCAUCUCCAGGUUGUUUUUCUGUUUGUUUGUUUUUCUUUUCUUUUGUUCUGUUUUUUUGUUGUUGUGGUGGUUAUUUUAUUUUAUUUCUUCUUAUUCCCAUUUUCAGGUCUUGAACAGUUUUAGUAAUUUCCUUCACCUGUUUGAUUACAUAAUGUUUUCCUGGACUUCUUUAAUGGAUACAUUAAUUUCCUUUAAGGCUUCUAUCAUCUUCAUAAGAUUAGACUUAAGCUCAUUUUCUUAUGCUUCAGCUGUUUUAGAGUAUCCAGGGCUUACUGGCUGGAUCAGGUGGCUAGGAUGGCUGGGAUCAAGUGGUGCCACAUUUCUUGGCUCUUGUUGAUUGUCUUCUUACACUGGCCUUUACCCAUCUGAGUGUGCCUGGUUCUGGCAAGCGUCUGUGACUUCAGGAAGAGUUUUGGGAUGAAAAAUGGAGGGCAGGAACUGGGUGCAGUUUAUAAAUUCUUGGUAUGCCUUAUGGGUACUUGGUAGAUAGGAAAAGGAGAGGUUUUAACCUGUUUGUUCCUGAUAUCAGCAGGACUCUGAGAAUUCAGAUAGAACUGUAGGCUGGAAGAUGGACUUCCAGGACAUGGAACAUCUCACUGCUACUAGGAUUUUCGAUGAUCAGUUGUCAUCAACUCAAGAAGAAAGAAGAUCAAAGUUUGGAUACCUCAAUCCUUCUUAGAAGGGACAACAAAAUACCCAUGGAAGGAGUUACAGAGACGAAGUGUGGAGCAGAGACUGAAGGAAGAUCAUCCAGAGACUGCCCCACCUGGGAACCCAUCCCAUAUACAACCACCAAAACCAGACAGUGUUGUGGAUGCCAAUAAGUGCUUGCUGAAAGAAGACUGAAAUGGCUAUCUCUUGGGAGGCUCUGCCAGUGCCUGAAAAAUACAGAAGUGGAUGCUCACAGCCAUCCAUUGAACGGAGCACAUGGUUUCCAAUGAAAGAGCUAGAGAAAGGAUCCAAGGAGCUGAGGGGUUUGCAGCCCCAUAGGAGGAACAAUAUGAACUAUCCAGUAUCCUCAGAGCUCCCUGGAACUAAAUCACCAACCAAAGAAAACACAUGGUGGGACUCAGAGCUCUACCUGAAUAUGUAGCAAAGGAUGGCCUAGUUGAUCAUCAAUGGGAGGAGAGGCCCUUGGUCCUGUGAAGGUUCUAUGACCCAGUACAGGAGAAUGCCAGAGCCAGGAAAUGGGAGAGGGUGGGUUGAUGAGCAGGGGAAGCGAGGAAGGGUUAGGGGUUUUUAGAGGGGAAACCAGGGAAGGGGAUACCACUUGAAAUGUAAAUAAAUAAAAUAUCUAAUAAAAAAGAAAAAUUG